CCCAUACCGAACUCAGCAAUAGCA
rnacentral:piRNA from 1 species